rnacentral:rRNA from 1 species
AAAUUGAAGAGUUUGAUCAUGGCUCAGAUUGAACGCUGGCGGCAGGCCUAACACAUGCAAGUCGAACGGUAGCACAGAGAGCUUGCUCUCGGGUGACGAGUGGCGGACGGGUGAGUAAUGUCUGGGAAACUGCCUGAUGGAGGGGAAUAACUACUGGAAACGGUAGCUAAUACCGCAUAACGUCGCAAGACCAAAGAGGGGGACCUUCGGGCCUCUUGCCAUCAGAUGUGCCCAGAUGGGAUUAGCUAGUAGGUGGGGUAACGGCUCACCUAGGCGACGAUCCCUAGCUGGUCUGAGAGGAUGACCAGCCACACUGGAACUGAGACACGGUCCAGACUCCUACGGGAGGCAGCAGUGGGGAAUAUUGCACAAUGGGCGCAAGCCUGAUGCAGCCAUGCCGCGUGUAUGAAGAAGGCCUUCGGGUUGUAAAGUACUUUCAGCGGGGAGGAAGGUGUUG